rnacentral:lncRNA from 1 species
AUGGCUCUGCUCCACCUCCUCGUAGCCUUCAGCCUGGUUCCUCUGGUGGCUCCUGCUACAUCCUCCCCAGCAACCAGCUCCACUCAACCCAACUCCUCCCUAGCAACCAGCUCCCCUCCACCCAACUCCUCCCUAGCAACCAGCUCCCCUCCACCCAACUCCUCCCUAGCAACCAGCUCCCCUCCGCCCAACUCCUCCCUAGCAACCAGCUCCCCUCCACCCAACUCCUCCCUAGCAACCAGCUCCCCUCCACCCAACUCCUCCCUAGCAACCAGCUCCCCUCCACCCAACUCCUCCCUAGCAACCAGCUCCCCUCCACCCAACUCCUCCCUAGCAACCAACUCCCCUCCGCCCAACUCCUCCCUAGCAACCAGCUCCCCUCCACCCAACACCUCCCUAGCAACCAGCUCCACUCCACCCAACUCCUCCCUAACAACCAGCUCCACUCAACCCAACUCCUCCCUAGCAACCAGCUCCCCUCCACCCAACACCUCCCUAGCAACCAGCUCACCUCCACCCAACUCCUCCCUAGCAACCAGCUCCCCUCCACCCAACACCUCCCUAGCAACCAGCUCCACUCCACCCAACUCCUCCCUAACCCCAAACCCCACCAGCAUGCCUUCCACUAACACCCUCUCCUCCACCACCUCCUCCACCCACACUGUCCCCCCCUCCUCCUCCUCCUCCUCCUCCUCCUCAACCAACAACAACUCCUCCACAAAAGGCGCGGAGUCCGGGUUAACGGGGUCGAAGGCUGUCCUACUGCCGAUCCUGGUCAGUAUCAUCGUGCUCGCGCUGUUGCUCUGCAUCUUCAACGAGUUCUGCGCCAGUCGCCCGUCCGACAGGUGCAGCUCCGCCCCCACGCGCCUAUGGGGGGCGCUCUCGCGGAUGACGGACCGAGUCGGCAACAUGGAGGAGUUGUUGGAGCUCCACUUCCGUGGGGACGCUGAGGAGGAGGAGCGAGGAGGCGGAGGCCACGGUGGGGGGGGUAAGCAGGAGGAGGCGGGCGAGAAGGAGCCAGCCCGGGCUGGAGGAGAGGAGCAGAAGGACCCAAAGGGAGGAGGUUCGGGAGUAGCACCAGGACCUCCUCAUGCUGCCGAGGAGCGUCUGUUUGACGUCACCAUAUUGUAG